GCCCUUGUAGUAUAUUUAAUACUCUGGUCUUGUAAACCAAAAAUGGAGAAUACACCCUCCCUAGGACA
ensembl:Mt_tRNA